rnacentral:rRNA from 1 species
UACGAGGGAUCCUAGCGUUGUUCGGAAUCAUUGGGCGUAAAGGGUGUGUAGGCGGCCUUGUAAGUCAGUUGUGAAAGCCCCGGGCUCAACCCGGGAAGUGCUUCUGAUACUGCUUGGCUUGAGUAUUGGAGAGGUGAGUGGAAUUCCAGGUGUAGUGGUGAAAUACGUAGAUAUCUGGAGGAACACCGGCGGCGAAGGCGGCUCACUGGCCAUAUACUGACGCUGAAACACGAAAGCGUGGGGAUCAAACAGG